rnacentral:tRNA from 1 species
UGGGAGGUGGCUCAGUGGUAGAGCACUUGCCUUGCAUGCCUGAGGCCCUGGGUUCAA